rnacentral:rRNA from 1 species
CGUCGGUAAGGUGAUAUGAACCGUUAUAACCGGCGAUUUCCGAAUGGGGAAACCCAGUGUGUUUCGACACACUAUCAUUAACUGAAUCCAUAGGUUAAUGAGGCGAACCGGGGGAACUGAAACAUCUAAGUACCCCGAGGAAAAGAAAUCAACCGAGAUUCCCCCAGUAGCGGCGAGCGAACGGGGAGGAGCCCAGAGCCUGAAUCAGUGUGUGUGUUAGUGGAAGAGUCUGGAAAGGCGCGCGAUACAGGGUGACAGCCCCGUACACAAAAAUUCACAUGCUGUGAGCUCGAUGAGUAGGGCGGGACACGUGGUAUCCUGUCUGAAUAUGGGGGGACCAUCCUCCAAGGCUAAAUACUCCUGACUGACCGAUAGUGAACCAGUACCGUGAGGGAAAGGCGAAAAGAACCCCGGCGAGGGGAGUGAAAAAGAACCUGAAACCGUGUACGUACAAGCAGUGGGAGCA